rnacentral:misc_RNA from 1 species
AAAGUCGUAACAAGGUCUCCGUUGGUGAACCAGCGGAGGGAUCAUUACCGAGUUGCAAAACUCCCAAACCCACCGUCUAUCUAUCUUGAAAAAGCGUCUGCUUCGGCGGGCGGCCCCAGGGCGGGGCCGCUGCUCACGCUUCGGGCGCGGGCGCCCGCCGGAGACGACCCAAACUCGUAUUGUUUAGUACCACUCUGAGCCUAAAGACAAAUAGUCAAAACUUUCAACAACGGAUCUCUUGGUUCUG